rnacentral:rRNA from 1 species
AGAGUUUGAUCAUGGCUCAGGACGAACGCUGGCGGCAUGCCUAAUACAUGCAAGUCGAGCGGACUAUCUGAGAAGCUUGCUUCUCAGAUAGUUAGCGGCGGACGGGUGAGUAACACGUAGGCAACCUGCCCUCAAGCUUGGGACAACUACCGGAAACGGUAGCUAAUACCGAAUAAUUGUUUUCUUCGCCUGAAGGAAACUGGAAAGAUGGAGCAAUCUGUCACUUGGGGAUGGGCCUGCGGCGCAUUAGCUAGUUGGUGGGGUAACGGCUCACCAAGGCGACGAUGCGUAGCCGACCUGAGAGGGUGAUCGGCCACACUGGGACUGAGACACGGCCCAGACUCCUACGGGAGGCAGCAGUAGGGAAUCUUCCGCAAUGGGCGAAAGCCUGACGGAGCAAUGCCGCGUGAGUGAUGAAGGUUUUCGGAUCGUAAAGCUCUGUUGCCAGGGAAGAACGCUUGAGAGAGUAACUGCUCUCAAGGUGACGGUACCUGAGAAGAAAGCCCCGGCUAACUACGUGCCAGCAGCCGCGGUAAUACGUAGGGGGCAAGCGUUGUCCGGAAUUAUUGGGCGUAAAGCGCGCGCAGGCGGUCAUUUAAGUCUGGUGUUUAAUCCCGGGGCUCAACCCCGGAUCGCACUGGAAACUGGGUGACUUGAGUGCAGAAGAGGAGAGUGGAAUUCCACGUGUAGCGGUGAAAUGCGUAGAUAUGUGGAGGAACACCAGUGGCGAAGGCGACUCUCUGGGCUGUAACUGACGCUGAGGCGCGAAAGCGUGGGGAGCAAACAGGAUUAGAUACCCCCGUAGUCC